AUUGAACGCUGGCGGCAGGCCUAACACAUGCAAGUCGAACGAGUGGCGGACGGGUGAGUAAUGUCUGGGAAACUGCCCGAUGGAGGGGGAUAACUACUGGAAACGGUAGCUAAUACCGCAUACCAUCGGAUGUGCCCAGAUUGGAUUAGCUUGUAGGUGAGGUAACGGCUCACCUAGGCGACGAUCCCUAGCUGGUCUGAGAGGAUGACCAGCGACACUGGAACUGAGACACGGUCUAGACUACUGAGGGAGGCAGCAGUGGGGAAUAUUGCACAGUGGGCGCAAGCCUGAUGCAGCCAUGCCGCGUGGAUGAAGAAGGCGUUCGGGUUGUAAAGUACUUUCAGCGGGGAGGCGUUACCCGCAGAAGAAGCACCGGCGAACUCCGUGCCAGCAGCCUCUGUAAUAC
rnacentral:rRNA from 1 species